rnacentral:antisense_RNA from 1 species
GCUCUAGUCAUUCUGUGAGAGGAACUCCAGGAGACCAGAUCCAACUCGCAAUCAGCUAUAGUGAAGUUAUGAUAUGAGAAGCACCAACUUGGCACAAGACUUGGGAAAGGCAAUGAGGCAGCAGGCAAGCUUUAAGGGAUGACACUUACCUUGAGGGAGCAAGGACAAGUUGUGACCUUCCCAGUCCUCUCUCCAUUUGCAGAUCAGCAAGCUUCUAUCAGCAAGGAGGGGUGGACAAUGAAACUGUUUGGGUUCAGCUUGAUUUGUUUUUUGAGACAGGUAUGGCAAGGGGCUGCCAACAAGAAUUCCAGUUGCCCAUCAUGUCACAGGCUGAGGCCCACACUCCAGAGACACUGUGGACUGACUGGCACCUAUGAGCUGACCUAAUAACAGUUACACCAUUACAGCUCCGAUUCUACAGAACAAUACAUAUCCAGUUCUUA